GACAUAUUGACAUAACAACUUAUUUAAUAAAAAUCCUAUUAUCAUUUCUAAUUAACACAUAAAAACUAAUCAAGUCAUUUCAAUUCAAUACCAAUGCCAUAAAGGACUUCUACCAAUUUGCUAAUAUAAUCAUCAAAAUACAUAAUAUCUUACUUUACAACAAAACUAUAUAACAUACCAAAAUAACUAUUAUAAUUCUUAUGUACAUGCCACUCUCUCUUAAAGGAAGAAAACAUCACCAAAAUCUUUAUGUCGGAGUCGGGAUUGUCCUGAAUGCUGAACCGAGACUCUGAUCCCUUUUCAACUUGCGCACGGAAACAAUCGUACGCUGAGUAUUGUAUACUCAGUGGUAUUGCCAUAAUUCAAAUUAUAAUAACAACAAAGAAUUAUAAUUACCAAGUAUGUAACUAUCCGAUUUCUUAAAUAUCAAUUAAUUUAUAAACUUUCAUUAACUAACAAUAACAAUACAAUUUUUAGCUAUUCUUCAAUUUCAAUCAUAUAUCACAUGUAAUAAUUUCAAUCACUACAUAAACAUUAAAUUCAUGCCUUUCAUUUUCAAUCUCAAAUUUCAAUCCACAAUUUUAACUUUUCUUAUUUCAAUUAUUCACCCUAUUAACAAUCUGGAUUUUGACGGAUACACGGAUUCCAACCCAAACACACCAAUACGGCACAUUGUGCCUAAAACGGUAUAUAAUACCUGAUCAAUAUACGACACAUAAGUGCCUGAAACGACACACGAGGUGCCUGAUACGACACAUAAAGUGCCUGAGAUACGACACAUAAAGUGCCUGAUCGGCAAAGCCGAUAAAUCCCGUACUCUUCUAAAUCCUAUGGCAUGCCAAUUAUAUCCGACUCAGCCCGACUAGUUAAUAGGGUAUAUAAAUUUCUCAAUCUAAUUUUCACUUUUAUUUCAAAAAUUCAUUUUCAAUAUCAAUUAUACUUUUUCCAUUCACUAAUUAAACACAGUUCAAUACCAACACAUACUUUUCUCAUUAAAUUUAAAUUUUUUUCCAAAUUCAAUUCAAUAAAGUCACUUACCUUACCAUACACAUAAUUUAAAUUUAACAUCAAAUAAUAAAUAAUUUGAAUUAUAGUAAUACAAACCCGAAUUUUGCUCGAUUAUUCCUCAAUAACCUUCUCCUUUCCUUUGUGUGCCGAUACCUCGAGUUCCUUGUUAGCUACGAAAAUAAUAAUAAUUUACACCAUCAAUUACAACAUUAAUUUAUAACAAUAAUAAAAUUUCUAUCUAAUUUAUACUUUAAUUCCAAUUUAAUCCUAACUAAAUUUAUUUACUUUUCUAAUUUAAUUCACACUCUAUUUCUAUUCAAAUUUCUUCUAAACUCAAAUUUAACUACCAAAUUUUCAGCAUAUUUCAUUAAUUUCGAAUUUUCCUCAAUUUAAUCCCUACAAACAUAAAACUUAUAGCUUACUUCACAAUUUAAUCCUUUUAUCAACUCUAACUAGAAAUUCUAUCAAAUAAAACCUCAAUUCCAUCAUUUAUUCAACAUAAACCCUACUAAAAAAUCUAUUAACUUUCAAAUUUUCAACUUAAAUCCAAGAGUAUUUCACUCUAGGGUUCCAAAAAACAUCAAAUUUAUGAGAAAAGGACUUGAUUUAGCUUACCUAUUAAACUUCAAGCUNNN
rnacentral:lncRNA from 1 species